UGCCAGCAGCCGCGGUAAUACGUAGGUGGCAAGCGUUGUCCGGAAUUACUGGGCGUAAAGGGUGCGUAGGCGGUUCAUUAAGUGGGAUGUGAAAUACCCGGGCUCAACUCGGGAACUGCAUUCCAAACUGGUGAGCUAGAGUGCAGGAGAGGAAAGUGGAAUUCCCAGUGUAGCGGUGAAAUGCGUAGAGAUUGGGAGGAACACCAGUGGCGAAGGCGACUUUCUGGACUGUAACUGACGCUGAGGCACGAAAGUGUGGGGAGCAAACAGGAUUAGAUACCCUGGUAGUCCACACUGUAAACUAUGAGUACUAGGUGUAGGGGGCGAAGCCCUCUGUGCCGCAGUUAACACAUUAAGUACUCCGCCUGGGAAGUACGAUCGCAAGAUUAAAACUCAAAGGAAUUGACGGGGGCCCGCACA
rnacentral:rRNA from 1 species